rnacentral:rRNA from 1 species
UACGUAGGGGGCUAGCGUUGUCCGGAAUCAUUGGGCGUAAAGCGCGCGUAGGCGGCCCGGUAAGUCCGCUGUGAAAGUCCAGGGCUCAACCCUGGAAAGCCGGUGGAUACUGCCGGGCUAGAGUCCGGAAGAGGCGAGUGGAAUUCCUGGUGUAGCGGUGGAAUGCGCAGAUAUCAGGAGGAACACCAAUGGCGAAGGCAGCUCGCUGGGACGGUACUGACGCUGAGGCGCGAAAGCGUGGGGAGCGAACAGGG